rfam:Oryza glumipatula chromosome 6, whole genome shotgun sequence.
AAAAAAUGCAAACCCUAGGUAUUCGUGUCCAACUUUGACUGUCCGUCUUAUAUGAAAUUUUUUUAUAAUUCGUAUUUUCAUUGUUGUUAGAUGAUAAAACAUGAUUAAUAUUUUAUACGUGACUUGUCUUUUAAAUUUUUUUUACAAUUUUUUCAAAUAAAACGGACGGUCAAACGUUGGACACGGAAACCAGGGUUUGCCUUUUUU